AACGAACGCUGGCGGCGUGUUUAAGACAUGCAAGUCGAACGGGUUGAAGUUGUAGCAAUACCGCUUCAACCAGUGGCGCACGGGUGCGUAACACGUGAGUUACAUGCCCUGCAGUGGGGAAUAGCCCGCCGAAAGGCGGAUUAAUACCCCAUGGUCCCGCAAGGGUAAAGGUGGCGCAAGCUGCCGCUGCAGGAUUGGCUCGCGGCCUAUCAGCUAGUUGGCGAGGUAACGGCUCACCAAGGCGACGACGGGUACCUGGUCUGAGAGGAUGAUCAGGCACACUGGAACUGGGACACGGUCCAGACACCUACGGGUGGCAGCAGUCGAGAAUAAUUCACAAUGGGGGAAACCCUGAUGGUGCAACGCCGCGUGGAGGAUGAAGGUCUUCGGAUAGUAAACUCCUGUCAUCGGGGAGUAAGACCUGACGGUAAAUAGCCGGCAGGGUUGAUAGUACCCGAAGAGGAAGGGACGGCUAACUUCGUGCCAGCCGCCGCCGUAAGAC
rnacentral:rRNA from 1 species